rnacentral:tRNA from 1 species
UCCCUGGAGGACUAGUGGUUAGGCCUUGGCACUCUCACUGUUGUGGCCCAGGUUGGAUUCCUGGCCAGGGAA